rnacentral:rRNA from 1 species
GAUGAACGCUGGCGGCGUGCCUAAUACAUGCAAGUCGAGCGAAUGGAUUAAGAGCUUGCUCUUAUGAAGUUAGCGGCGGACGGGUGAGUAACACGUGGGUAACCUGCCCAUAAGACUGGGAUAACUCCGGGAAACCGGGGCUAAUACCGGAUAACAUUUUGAACCGCAUGGUUCGAAAUUGAAAGGCGGCUUCGGCUGUCACUUAUGGAUGGAACCGCGUCGCAUUAGCUAGUUGGUGAGGUAACGGCUCACCAAGGCAACGAUGCGUAGCCGACCUGAGAGGGUGAUCGGCCACACUGGGACUGAGACACGGCCCAGACUCCUACGGGAGGCAGCAGUAGGGAAUCUUCCGCAAUGGACGAAAGUCUGACGGAGCAACGCCGCGUGAGUGAUGAAGGCUUUCGGGUCGUAAAACUCUGUUGUUAGGGAAGAACAAGUGCUAGUUGAAUAAGCUGGCACCUUGACGGUACCUAACCAGAAAGCCACGGCUAACUACGUGCCAGCCGCCGCGGUAA